rnacentral:rRNA from 1 species
AACGAACGCUGGCGGCAGGCCUAACACAUGCAAGUCGAGCGCCCCGCAAGGGGAGCGGCGGACGGGUGAGUAACGCGUGGGAAUAUGCCCUUUGCUACGGAAUAGUCUCGGGAAACUGGGGGUAAUACCGUAUACGCCCUUUGGGGGAAAGAUUUAUCGGCGAAGGAUUAGCCCGCGUUGGAUUAGGUAGUUGGUGGGGUAAUGGCCUACCAAGCCGACGAUCCAUAGCUGGUUUGAGAGGAUGAUCAGCCACACUGGGACUGAGACACGGCCCAGACUCCUACGGGAGGCAGCAGUGGGGAAUCUUAGACAAUGGGGGCAACCCUGAUCUAGCCAUGCCGCGUGAGUGAUGAAGGCCUUAGGGUUGUGAAGCUCUUUCAGCUGGGAAGAUAAUGACGGUACCAGCAGAAGAAGCCCCGGCUAACUCCGUG